rnacentral:lncRNA from 1 species
CAAAAGGAAUUUGGAAACCUCAUUGUCAAACCCACAAAUAUCUUCCUCUCAGAAGAUAAGUUGUGGUCCGUUCUAUAGAAACUGUGUCAAGGAAAUUCCUUCCUUCCCCCUCCUGAGUGACUUGACCUGUCCAUCAAACGUUCCUGACAUAACACAGUUGCUCCAGGUUUCCAUCCCUCUACAUGCUGUACGUCAAUAAAAGUCAAGGCUUUGGGCUUGUGAGAGGAGAACCAAGAAGAGAAGGAAGAAGGAAGAAGUCGGGAUCAGAGCAGGCAGAAAAUUUUCUGAUGCUGAGAGGCAACUGGGUGGAACAUUGGGUAGAGAUCAGAUCUGGAGUCAAGAAGACCUGCGUUCAAAUCCAGCUUCAGGCACCAGCUGUAAAACAAGAUGGAAAUAAACAUAAAGAGCUGUAAAGCUGUUCAUGCUCGUUGACCUGGGGAUCCCAUUACUAAGGUGAUGCCCUGAGGGCAUUAUUGAGAGGGCAAAAAGCCGUGAGGGUAUGAGAUUAUUCAUGGAAGCUUUGUUUGUAAUGACAGAACAACUGGAUAUAACUCAAAUGCAACGAAUGGGAGAAAUGGCUGAAUAAAUGGUGAUAUUUGAAUAUAAUGA